AGGCGAACUUGCUGAUAUCAUUUCUCAUGCGCUGGAGGUGAACGUCCAGAAAAAGGUUGUCUUUGGUUAGAUGAUCAUCUAUUGUCAUUAAGGCUAGAAGAAUCUUCAAACUAACAGUGAGUUUUUUUCUCAGAGAGCAGCUCUACCAAACAGCAUUUCAUUUUAUUAGCCGUUUUGAAAAAGAAGAAUGCAAAAGAAAAGCUUAUGCUAGCUAUGCAGACUUGUUAGAGCUGUAACUAAUCUCUGAUUUUAACUUUGGAUAUACUAAAGCAAAGGGUGUGACAGUAUUCCUAAUCAAAGGGAAUGCUAAAGGAAGCCAAGAAAAGUUUUAUUAAUGAUCUGUCAUAUGGUUGAAGCUGUAUUUUAACUAUAUAACAACUUGUUUCUUCAUGGGAUUGGAUUCAAGGGAUUGGAUUCAAGAUUCUACGAAGCUAUAGGUUUUGAUCUUUAACUAAAAGAUUAAAAUAACAGCUCUAUUAAAAGGGUAAUUAAAGGAUUAUUUUUGGGAUUUUAAGUUUGAACUGCAAAAGUAAGCAAGCUUGAAAUGACAACCAGAAUUUUCAGGUUUGUGUAAAAAAGAGAUUCUUAGAUUCCGAAAAAGGAUCAUUUUUUAUAUACAAACGUUUUUCUGGUAAUCCUGCUUUCCUAUCAAUAAAUACAAAAUUAGAUCCAGACUGUAGAAAUGGAUUUCUUUCUUAUAAAGCAA